UCCCGGCCCGGCUUCGGCCCAGUGCGCACCAGAGCCGGGGGUGGCCAGUGAGACGGGGACGGAGAGGGUGAGACUCCGGCAGAAGCAGCGCAGACGGAUGGGGCCAGACGGGCGGGGGGGCCUCGCUGGAAGCCUCGUGGGCGCCACAGACCCCGGGCCGAGAACCCCACAUCCCUUCUGUUUCUUUCUGGCUCCUCCUGAUGAAUGGGGAUUGCUGGCCCCGAGUUCGAGUUUCCAGAACCUGAUGUCCUAGGUGUCCCUGUGCCACCUAGGGGUGGGAGCGGGGCGUGUGCAGCAGGACCCUGGGAGGGGACCUCUGCCCCCCCCCCACACACACCCUGAAGAUGGAGGAUUCUCCUCGCUUGCUUCCAGAGCCGGGACAGAGGUGGCAUUUCGCUCUUCCUCACAGGCAGGAAACCCCUCUGUGCACCUCUAAACAGUGAGGCUUCAGGUCCCCCAGCCCUUCAGGAAGGAUGCCCAAGCCCAGAGAAAGGAGGGUGCUACGGCGUGGGGUACUACCCCCACCCGCGUGUGCAGUGGUCGUGUGGUCACAAGUGGUCGGAUUGUUGCCUGGUGGGGAGCGAGCCCUUUCGGGUCCUCAAGGUCCGUGCCUGUAGGAUGGGAGUUUGGAAGCUUCUGCCUACGCUUCAGGAGCUUCCUGGAGCAGUCCUCCCCUCACCCUGGGUGACAGGAUCGACCGGUAGCCCUACUGUGCAGAUGAGACACCAGGCACAGUGAAGUUCUACACAGGAGGCCCUGUGCCAAGGAGCCUCCGUGAGUUCUAAGGUCUCGUCCUGACCUUCUUGCUGCCGGGAAGUUCCAUGAUGUCAUCCACACGGAGGGUUCAGUACCUGCCACGAUGCCCUCUGCUAGACAGCCUGUCUGCAAGGCAGGUCAGAGGGCCAUUAGCCGUGCCUGAAUGUGACUGCAGCCAAGACAGCUGGCGCCUGCUUUCCACUGCUGGACACCAACCCUGACUGCUGUAGGCAGAGAAGCCAGGAUCCCCCUUUGCUCCUAACCAGCAUAACCCAGGAUCCAGGGCCCACCCCAGUGCACUCACUCUCUGGUGCCACUCCAGGGCUCUAUGUGUUACACCUUCCUGGAGUAUGUACCCUUUCGAACUGCGUUAGUGCCCAGGUUGCACCUGUUAGAAACUACAGGAAAGUCAUUUCCUGCCGUGGCUGUGGGGUUUAUAGCAGGGGUGGGGGAUCCUUGGGACUGCUGGCUCCACUUCCACCCCAUCUCACUUUCCUUCCUGCAGCACAGAGAAGGCUGGAUCACUUGGGAUUCCUCCCUGAAGUUUCACUUCCCCUGGCCAGAUUUAGGCUUGCUAAACCCAGCAUUUUUAGAAAAAUCAUUUUAGAAACAGCACGCUGGACAUUAUUUGAAGGCCCCAGUGAUCAAGAAAACACAGGAAUCAGUGCUCACCAAAGCCAGGACAACUACCUCCUUGUUCGAAUGGGGAAACUGAGGAAGGCCCAGAGAGGAGAAGGGACUUGCCAAGGUGUCCCAGCUAAUGAGUCACACAGCACCCGCGUCUCUGACUGUGAGACAAACCCUCUGAAAAUGUGCGCUGGUAAUGUUCAGUCCCCCACUGACCAAGAGCCCUAUCUUUGCUCAGGGGACUCGGGCGUCACAGAGCCCUGGAGACUAGGAGGAAAUGACUGCCACUUAUGUUGGGCUCCCAGGCUACAGUACAGCAGGGGGCUGACAGCUCUGGGCAGAGUGCCUGACCAGGGACCCACCCAGCGCCAAACCAAGUCAGCCACCUCCUCUGGGACUGAACAGCCCAAGACAUCCGGAUGGCAACUGCUUGUGUAGCUGCCCAAAGAGGCAGGGUGGCUCUACUCUUAUUCUGUUUCCUGCUCAGUUAGUGACAGAUGUGUGAACCGCAGGGCCAGUAGGCCACUCAGAGUCCUCAAAAUCAGCCACUUCAAGUUGGCCCUCAGUUCAAAGGUCCUGGCCUUUUGUGGUUCCUCUGACCUCUGCACUAGAAAUCUAGCUAGACUAAUACUCUGAGGCUAUCUGUCCAUCUGUCCACCUGUCUGUGGUACCCAGGAUGGACCCAGGGCCUCGAACAUGCUAGGCAAAUGCUCUGGCCCUGAGCUGCACCCCAGGCCCUGGAUGUCUGAAGGAAGAUGAGCAAGAAUGUCAGGAAUCAAGGUGGAAUGACAAGGCCGGGCCACUCUGUCUCCUCUUCAGUAAGGCACAGAGUUUUGGGGUGCACAUUGAGAAGACAUGCCUCGAGGGGAGUUUGGAACCAGAUAUUGAAAACUUUAAAAUGUUGAGCUCCAUCCUUUAAGAAUGUUUUCUGAAAAAAAUGACCAGGGAUAUCACCGUGUUAUGCAUAAAGAUGUUCACUGCAGGUUUGCGUACAAGAGUAAAACACUUUUUAAAAUUCCGAAUGCUUAACUGGAAGGCACCAGCUUGAGAGAUUAUAUUAUAUGUUACUGGAAUUGACCAUGAAGCAGCAUUAAGACCAGGUGACUAGAGAAGACGAGGGUGUUGCAGCUGUGACAGCCACCCCGAAAAGAUGCCACAGGAAGAAGCCAGACCUAUUUGCUGUGUGACCCUAUGCAGGUCACUCAGUGUCCUUGGGCUUCCACUUCCUGCCAUAUUGAUAACAUCAAAUACUUGGAUUCAUUAUCUCUGGAGUUCUUCCCAAGGCCCAAAUUCUAUGUGUGGAUAAGAUCUCCGAGCUUCGGUGAACAUUUGGGAAAGCUAAAGUGUGCCCAGCGUGAAUUCUUGUCUCCGAGGCUCUGUGGGAUGCUGAAAGCUCUGCUCAGGCCCCUGGCUCUUACCUCUCCCUUCUCCAGAGUCCCCAGCCUCCCCAUCCAGCUGCCUGGGCACUGACAGCUCAUGGGAAAAGCCCACAGGUGCCAGACGCCCUCUGGGGUCCCUCAUCCUUUAGGAUUUUGACCCCUUGAGUGCCAGCUUGCCGGGGAGCUCUGUGAGGAUGUCUGCAGGUUUCCGGCGUUGUUAAGCAGUUUUAUCCAGGGCUGCCUGUGGUGUGAGGGGACUGGUGUUGCUUCUCAGAGGCAGAAGCCCGAACCCCUCAUAUAGCAUGCAGCGAAUGGAAGGAGGCGGACGGCAGAUGGGCUGUAUAAUGGGCUCCAUUUGUAUGCAAGACGCAUCUGGUUUGUGCAAAAAAGAAGGAGAACAACUCUCUCAAGCCAGACUUUCUUUUCUUUUUAAACAAAAAUGUAUUUUAAAAAUUUUAUGGUCUACAUACUAAGAAUAUCCACACUGGAGUUGACCUCUGAGGGCAUUUAUACCCAUUUUAUAACCUGGGAUGCUGAAGCCAACAACGUUUGAAUUUAUUUCAGUGGAACAACUAUUGCAGAUUUGCUGUGGGCAAAGAAUCAGGUGAAGGACCAUAGGGCACCCAAAGGGAUGUAACUGUAGUCGCUUAUCCCCCCAUCGCCAGGGUCUUCACCUUGUGCUGGACUCCGGGACUCGAGGAGGGAGAGGAUAGAGGUCUGCCUGGAUUGUACUCUAGUUGCUAUGAGGCCACUGGCAAAAUGGCUACAACAAAAAGUAUUCAUUCUAAGUGUUUGGUGAGGAGGUAGGAGCAAUUAAAUUCCCGUAUGCUGUCGAUGAGCUCAUAGAUGGUACAUCCGCUUCUGAAAGACACCAAUGUGCAUCUCCUACAGCCCAGAAAAUCCAGUCCUCAGAGACUUGAUACUGAGCAACAAGAUGCAUAUAUUUCACAAAGCACGUUCACAGCAACUACAACACAAAUUCUGGCUGAGGAGAAAGACACCUAAAUAAGCUAUCCCAAGUAUGAUGCAAGAAUGCCAAAGUGCCAGGCACAGUGGUGCGGGCCUACAUGUAAUCCCAGCCCUCAGGAGGCUGAGGCAGGAGGAGACCAGGCUUGGUUACAUGGUGAGUUCAAGGCCAG